rnacentral:lncRNA from 1 species
AAUAUAAAAUCAUGUCUUUCUAAUAAAUAAAAGAUAAACUUAGUCAACUAACUUUACAUGAAUUAGAAUUCGGUAUUGACUACUUUGAUUUAGGCCUUGAAUGAUAGCAGAGAGUUUAGUUCUCAAAAGAUCUUCUCCUUGAGAUUGUAGAUUCACUUGGUGAUUGCUAAUUUGAGCUUUUAAAGACUGAUCAAACCGAGAGGCAAACUCUUAUUUCUUUUUCUUCAGCUCUUCAAUCUCCUUUUGCAAAUCAAGAUUAAUUCUCUCUUCUCUUUUGGAUAGUGACUUCAAUCCAUCUCCACAUGCACAAAGUCGGCUCGACUUUUCCUCACCGAGAACCUUGACAAAAGCCACGUCUUCUGACAUAGGACCGUCAUCAUUUUCAAUGUUUUCAGUCUGCAACCUCAUAAGCUCAUUCUGACAAAUAUUUCAAAGCAUUUAAAAUAUAAAAGCAUGUAAAUUAAUGUGUACCUCUUCGAAAUAAAAUUGUGCAGUGGAUUUUUUUCCGCAUGCAUGAUUCCUCUGUAACUUUUUUCUAUUCUCUCUAUUCCGAUCACUAAUUUU